rnacentral:rRNA from 1 species
AGAUACCCUGGUAGUNCACGCCGUAAACGAUGAGUGCUAGGUGUUAGGCCCUUUCCGGGGCUUAGUGCCGCAGCUAACGCAUUAAGCACUCCGCCUGGGGAGUACGACCGCAAGGUUGAAACUCAAAGGAAUUGACGGGGGCCCGCACAAGCGGUGGAGCAUAUGGUUUAAUUCGAAGCAACGCGAAGAACCUUACCAGGUCUUGACAUCCCUCUGAUCGCUCUAGAGAUAGAGUUUUCCUUCGGGACAGAGGUGACAGGUGGUGCAUGGUUGUCGUCAGCUCGUGUCGUGAGAUGUUGGGUNNNNNNNNNNNNACGAGCGCAACCCCUAUUGUUAGUUGCCAUCAUUCAGUUGGGCACUCUAGCGAGACUGCCGGUAAUAAACCGGAGGAAGGUGGGGAUGACGUCAAAUCAUCAUGCCCCUUAUGACCUGGGCUACACACGUGCUACAAUGGCUGGUACAACGAGUCGCAAGCCGGUGACGGCAAGCUAAUCUCUGAAAGCCAGUCUCAGUUCGGAUUGUAGGCUGCAACUCGCCUACAUGAAGUCGGAAUCGCUAGUAAUCGCGGAUCAGCACGCCGCGGUGAAUACGUUCCCGGGCCU